GGCACCCCUCAAUCUCUAUGAUAAUUUCUUGUCUCCUCCAGGGGCUAGAGGGGGUCUCCUUAUAUAGUCCUCCCCUUCUAUGCGUUUUUGGGUCGAUAGGCGAGGUGGUACUAUGUUAUUCUGGAUCCAAUAGGUCGGUGGAACGUCGUGUGCGAAGAGAGUCCGGAACGGAGUCCAGAGGUGGGCGGGCGCCCAGGUCCUCAGGGCGGGCGCCCUGGGCCUGGCCCCUUUCGGGCUCCGCUUCCUUCCCGUGGCUUCUGGAGUCUUCUAGAUGGUAGAAAAUUGCGCGGUGGGUUGAUAUCUCUAUGUAAUCCUGACAUGUGGGCCUUUCUUCCUUAUUUCCUGAUAACCCCCUGCAGAAAUAGACAAACACCAAAACUCGUGGAAUUCUGUCAGAUAAAACCCUAAGUCU
rnacentral:lncRNA from 1 species